UACGUAGGGUGCGAGCGUUGUCCGGAAUUAUUGGGCGUAAAGAGCUUGUAGGCGGUUUGUCGCGUCUGCUGUGAAAAUCCGGGGCUCAACCCCGGACUUGCAGUGGGUACGGGCAGACUGGAGUGUGGUAGGGGAGACUGGAAUUCCUGGUGUAGCGGUGGAAUGCGCAGAUAUCAGGAGGAACACCGAUGGCGAAGGCAGGUCUCUGGGCCGAUAUUGACGCUGAGGAGCGAAAGCGUGGGGAGCAAACAGG
rnacentral:rRNA from 1 species